rnacentral:misc_RNA from 1 species
AAAUUCCUGAGAGCCAGGGAUUUCAAGGUGAAGGAUGCCUUCACUAUGAUCAAGAACACAGUGCGCUGGAGAAAGGAUUUUGGAAUUGAUGCUCUGCUUGAAGAAGACCUUGGAAAUGAAUUAGAGAAAGCUGUGUUUAUGCACGGAUUUGACAAAGACCCUGUGUGCUACAAUGUUUUUGGUGCUUUUCAGGAUAAGGAGCUGUACCAAAAUUGCUUUGCUGACGAGGAGAAGCGUGUGAAGUUCCUGCGAUGGAGGAUUCAAUUCUUGGAGAAGAGCAUCAGGAAGCUUGAUUUCAGUCCCAAUGGUGUCUGCACUAUUGUACAGGUCAACGAUCUCAAGAAUUCUCCUGGGCCUGCUAAGAGGGAGCUCAGGCAGGCCACCAAUCAAGCCCUUGCCUUGCUUCAAGAUAACUAUCCUGAAUUUGU